AUAAAUUAUUUGUUUAAACCUUAUCUGUUCUUAUCAGUUUAAUAUCUGAUACGUCCCCUAUCUGGAGACCAUAUAUUAAAUGGAUUUUUGGAACAGGGAGAUGGAAGAAGAGCUUGCUCUGUCCACUCCACGCAUCGACCUGGUAUUGCAGUACCUCCAGGACCGGUGCACCUCUC
ensembl:snRNA U2 U2 spliceosomal RNA